CCCUACGGGGCGCAGCAGUGAGGAAUAUUGGUCAAUGGGAGAGAUCCUGAACCAGCCAAGCUGCGUGAGGGAAGACGGCCCUAUGGGUUGUAAACCUCUUUUGUCGGAGAACAAAACCCGGGACGUGUCCCGGACUGCGUGUAUCCGAAGAAAAAGCAUCGGCUAACUCCGUGCCAGCAGCCGCGGUAAUACGGAGGAUGCGAGCGUUAUCCGGAUUUAUUGGGUUUAAAGGGUGCGUAGGCGGUCCGUUAAGUCAGCGGUAAAAUUGCGGGGCUCAACCCCGUCGAGCCGUUGAAACUGGCAGA
rnacentral:rRNA from 1 species